GAGAAGCUCCCAUCAGAUCAACCUCCACACCAACAUGUUCUCUGUAGCUCUGCUGCUGCUGCUGGCCGCUGGAUGCUGUGUGAAGUGUGAGCAGUUGACGCAGCCGGCCUCUGUGACUGUGCAGCCCGGUCAACGUCUGACCAUCACCUGUCAGGUGUCUUAUGAUCUUGGCUACUACACAGCAUGGAUCAGACAACCUGCAGGGAAAGGACUGGAAUGGAUUGGAAUGAAAUAUACUGGAGCGUCAUACUACAAAGAUUCACUGAAGAACAAGUUUAGUAUCGACUUGGAUGCUUCCAGUAAAACAGUGACUCUAAACGGACAGAAUGUGCAGCCUGAAGACACGGCUGUGUAUUACUGUGUUCGCCAAAACCACGUUGGAAUAUAUCACUGUGAUGAUUACUUUGACUACUGGGGGCAAGGAACUCAAGUCACUGUGACUUCUGCCACUUCAACCAGACCGACGGUGUUCCCUCUGAUGCAAUGUGGUUCUGGGACUGGAGACACAGUCACUCUUGGCUGCUUUGCCAGCGGCUUCUCGCCCUCCUCGCUGACCUUUGCAUGGAACAAAGUGAAUGGAGCCGCCUUGACCGACUUCAUCCAGUACCCUCCAGUUCAAAAGGGAAACUUAUAUUCCAGGGUCAGUCACAUCCGAGUGAGCAGACAGGACUGGGAGGCAAAGGACGCCACUUUCCAAUGCGCGGCGACCCAUGCAGCAGGACGGGUAGAGGUCACCAUCCAAAGACCAAUUGUGGUUAUUGAAUUGCCGACUCUUAAAGUGUUGGCCUCCUCUGAUGAGGAAACCGAGGUUUCCUUCUCCUGCCUUGCCAAAGACUUUUCACCCGACGAUUAUGACAUCAAAUGGCUGAAAAACAACCAAGAAGUCCAAAACAAAAUAUUCGAAAUCAAAACCAUGACUGCUGAGGGCAGAAAGGAUGAAAAUGGAACCACACUGUACAGUGCCACCAGUUUCCUCAUGCUGCCGUCCAGCGAGUGGACUCAUGGCACUGAGUUGACGUGUCAGUUUAAGGGUAAAGGUCCAACAUUCAUGAAUUCAUCGCUGACUUACAAAGACACAGACACCUCUUGUGAGGGAUGUCCUAAACCAGAUGUGGAGGUCACAAUCGAAGGCCCCACAAUGGAGCAGAUGUUCGUAAGCAGACAAGGAACCGUGAAAUGUAAUGUCAAGGUCAACAAACCAUCAGUUCAUAAGAUUUCGUGGGAGAAUCAGCACAAACAGGCAAUAGCUGGAGUCUCAAAAUCCCCCCCCAGAGGAAGCAAAGAAAUAAGCCUUUCACUUGACAUUGAGUAUGACGAAUGGAGCCGGGGGACAAAGUUCUACUGCGUUGUUGAACAUAACGAUUGGAUUGAACCACUGAAGACGCCCUACGAAAGGAUUCCUGGAGGAGAAACUCAGCGACCUUCUGUGUUCAUGCUUCCACCGCUAGAACACACUAGAAAAGACACGGUGACCCUCACUUGCUACGUGAAAGACUUCUUCCCUCGGGAGGUUUUCGUGUCUUGGCUUGUUGAUGACGAGGAAGCAGAUUCAAAGUACAAGUUCCAUACCACGAACCCUGUAGAAAACCAAGGGACCUUCUCUGCUUACGGCCAGUUGUCUUUCAGCCUGGAGCAGUGGCAAAAGAGCGACGUGGUGUACAGCUGUGUAGUUCACCACGAGUCCGUGGCUAACACCACUAAAGCUAUCGUCAGGUCCAUUGGGUACAGAAGCUUUCAAAACACCAACCUGGUCAACCUCAACAUGAACGUCCCUGAAACGUGCAAGGCCCAGUAGAUGUUCUCCUGCCUUGCUGUGUCUUCUGCUGUUUGUUGCUUGUCAUGUGACAUUGUGUUUUGCCUUUUAAUUCAGUUAAAAAAAACUAAUAAAAACAGCUCUUUGCAACUCUGUUGAUGUUUGUCGCC